AGUUAGCUAUAAAACUAAUCUUCCCUGAGGCCCUCAUCAUUAAAAAUCAUAAACAAAAGAGGGUUACACUGAGUUAGCUAUAAAACUAAUCUUCCCUGGAGGCCCUCAUCAUAUAAAAAUCAUAAACAAAAGAGGGUUACACUGAGUUAGCUAUAAACUAAUCUUCCUGAGGCCCUCAUCAUUAAAAAUCAUAAACAAAAGAGGGUUAACUGAGUUAGCUAUAAGCACUAAUCUUCCUGAGGCCCUCAUCAUUAAAAAUCAUAAACAAAAGAGGGUUACACUGAGUUAGCUAUAAAACUAAUCUUCCCUGAGGCCCUCAUCAUUAAAAAUCAUAAACAAAAGAGGUUACACUGAGUUAGCUAUAAAACUAAUCUUCCCUGAGGCCCUCAUCAUUAAAAAUCAUAAACAAAAGAGGGUUACACUGAGUUAGCUAUACAACUAAUCUUCCCUGAGGCCCUCAUCAUUAAAAAUCAUAAACAAAAUGCAAACAGAUACAUUGCAUACAUAAGUAUAAAAGUCAAGUAUACA
rnacentral:lncRNA from 1 species